GACAGAGGGUGCAAACGUUGUUCGGAAUUACUGGGCGUAAAGCGCGUGUAAGCGGCUAAGUAAGUCGGGCGUGAAAUCCCACGGCUCAACCGUGGAAGUGCACUCGAAACUGCAUAGCUAGAGUCCUGGAGAGGAAGGUGGAAUGCUUGGUGUAGAGGUGAAAUUCGUAGAUAUCAAGCGGAACACCGGUGGCGAAGGCGGCCUUCUGGACAGUGACUGACGCUGAGACGCGAAAGCGUGGGGAGCAAACAGG
rnacentral:rRNA from 1 species